GAAAAGGAUUCAGAACUCAACACACCGAGCGGUGACGUCGGUAAGUUCCCCAGGAACGGUGACGUCGGUAAGUUCGCCAGGUAUGCUGAUUGCUGGGAUUAAUCCGUUUGUGUUUGCUCUUGUGUUCAUUCUUAUGGUACAUGCAUGUCUUAAGGAAGAACGCAAUGUGGAAAUCAUUAGAAAGGGACGCAAGGCAUUAAUUAAGCACCAGGAUAGUCUAUCAGAAUCAGACUUUAAAGGGGAGAACUUAAGUAGGCCUAAAAAGAAUAAAGAAAAGAAUAAAGAAAAGGAAAUUAAAGAAAAUAAGCCAGAAAAGGAAAAAAAUUCAGAGAAGAAAGGGAACCCUUUGUAUCUAGUAUUAGAGGAAUUUGCAAAACUUGAUUUCUCUGAUAAUGAAUUAGAUUCAAAUGAGGAGGAAAAUUUAGAGAAAGCCACCGCUGAAUAUGAGGAAGAGAAAUAUGGGUGGCGGUGGCGGCCUCCUCCUUAUAAUGUUUCUGCUGGAGUGAAUGUGGAACCAAUGGCGCCUUCGGGACCACAUCCACCCCCCGGCAACACCUUCGUAUCCGCAAACAGGUGGAGGUUGUCAUUUUAUCAGGAGAGACACCUGGGCGUGGCUAGCGUCCGCGUUUCCAGUCUUUGAAGAUCCGCAAACAACAAAUAUCAUGAACCUGUGCCUUACAAACAAUUAAAAGACCUGGUAGAGGCUGCUCGAGCCUACGGAGUAACAGCCAGUUAUACCUUAACAUUAUUGACUAGGCUCACUACUCAGGCUAUGACUCCAACAGAUUGGUUCGAAAUAGCCAGAGCAUGUUUAACUACAGGGCAGUAUCUGGAUUUCAAAUCUAUGGUUACAGAUGGAGCCCAGGUACAGGCUAGAGUUGAUCUUCAGGGUGGUCGACCACAGUGGACGGCUGACAUGCUAUUGGGUCGGGGACAAUGGACCGUGAAUCGGACGGCAUAUCCUAUUGAAGUUUAUCAACGGAUGAAUGGGAUUUAUUCUGGGGCUUGGAGAUCAUUGCCAAGUAAAGGAGAAGUAUCAGGGAAUUUGACUAAGAUCAUUUAGGGCCCGAACGAACCUUUUUCAGAUUUCGUAGCUAGAAUGAUGGAGGCGGCAGGAAAGAUAUUUGGUGACGUAGAAACAGCUAUGCCUCUGGUUCAACAAUUAGUAUAUGAGCAAAGCACAAAAGAAUGUCAUAGAGCUAUUACCCCGUGGAAAGGAAAGGGAUUAGAAGAUUGGCUAAAAGCCUGUCAGGAAAUUGGGGGACCGUUAAGUAAUGCUGGCCUAGCGGCAGCAGUCCUCACAACCACACGAGCUGCACAAAUGGAUGCUAGCUGCUCUGAUGUAGCUCCUUUAAUUAUGCUCCAAGGAGGGAAUUAUGGUGUUCACACAUUACUUGUUAUUCUAAUCAUUCUCGGAGAGGUUAUGGGGAAUCCUUGUGCUGGCUGGGGGCCAGGUGCUAGGCAUCACCUUUGCAGUGGAGGUUCAAACUGCUGCAGCUGGUCCCUGUCUCCAGAGAUGCAGGCUUGGCCAUUUCAGCCUCUUCAGGUGGAAGGAGUUAAUGGCUCCAAACCAUCCUUCAUACCUCUACUUCUCUAAAUGCACAGUUGAAAGGUGGCCUUGUGGUGCUUAACCAGUGCAUUGACUUGGUACAAGAACAAGUUGACAUCCUUUGGCAGCUGGCCCAAUUGGGCUGUGAGUGGAGAAUGCCUGGUUUGUGUGUCACUAGUGUACAAUUCCAAAAUGGUUCCCAAGCAGCGAAUUUGUCUAAACAACUGUCCAGUUAUCUUAUAGGAAAUUGGUCCGGAGAAUUUGAAGAGACCUUGGAGAAACAGAGUGGCGGUGGUGAACAUCAACUCCACAAGAGUGGACCUCAGCAUGGCAGAGGGACUGUCCUCCUGGAUCGCUUCUACCUUUUCUCUGUUUAAAGAAUGGGUGGGAGUGGGUAUAUUUUGGCAUGCUGCCUUGGAGGAUGCGUGUUUUGUCUGUGGUUGGUCUGCCGUUUGCGAGCACGUAC